CAUGAUAUUAAUUGAAUUACGGACACGGCGAUCACAAUGUGUGGCCGGAUCCAAAUGGCUUUCAACGAACUUGAGAAAUCGUUGAUGAUCCCACAUACUCCAAGAAAGAAAGAGGGUUCAUAAAGCCAUCCAUGGCAAAGGGGUCUACGAAGAAAUGAAAUAAAGUCUUCCUACAGUUUCGGCAAAGAAGUUCACUCUGUCCUCCCCAGAUGGCGGUGCUGCUGUCGACGACGAGUGGCGGGAACUGGAAUAGGUGGUGCUGGUACGGAGGCUGAGCGUCUGUCUGGGGUCUCAGUAGAUGGGUGUGAAUGUGCUGCAAUUGUUGUCACUGACUAAAGCAUAUAUCACUUCGACAAAUUCGUGCCCAGGUGAAUGAAAGCAACAACCGGAAGUAUCGUGACGAUCUACUUCCGGUUCCUGUCGACGGGACCUUCGGGAAGUCGAAAAUGAUUGUUUACGUCGGAUGCAGCGUAACGAUGUAACACAUUGUACAGAUUCCAGUCAAAACCCACAAUACGGUAACUAAAAAUGGCGUCCUUCGCCUACCGUACCCCGCACUCGCAGCAGGAGAUUGACAUAUUGGCUUGAAUUGAAUCAGUGAAAGGAUUUUGUUCUAUUUUUCGACAAUACAAACAGGACAGUCAAUGUCUGCGAAGGUCACAGCAUAUAUGCGAAGUUUUGUCAUUUAUAACAAAUGUUUUGUCAUUUUUUUCCACGAGUCCAA